UACGUAGGUGACAAGCGUUAUCCGGAUUCACUGGGUUUAAAGGGUGCGUAGGCGGGCAGGUAAGUCAGUGGUGAAAUCUCCGAGCUUAACUUGGAAACUGCCGUUGAUACUAUCUGCCUUGAAUAUUGUGGAGGUGAGCGGAAUAUGUCAUGUAGCGGUGAAAUGCUUAGAUAUGACAUAGAACACCAAUUGCGAAGGCAGCUCGCUACACAUAUAUUGACUCUGAGGCACGAAAGCGUGGGGAUCAAACAGG
rnacentral:rRNA from 1 species